rnacentral:rRNA from 1 species
AUUGAACGCUGGCGGCGUGCUUAACACAUGCAAGUCGAUCGGUAACGCGGGGGCAACCCUGGCGACGAGAGGCGGACGGGUGAGGAACGCUUGGGAAUCUGCCUAUCAGCGGGGGACAACACGGGGAAACUCGUGCUAAUACCGCAUACGCUCUACGGAGGAAAGCCGGGGACCGCAAGGCCUGGCACUGAUAGAUGAGCCCAAGCCGGAUUAGCUAGUUGGCGGGGUAACGGCCCACCAAGGCGACGAUCCGUAGCUGGUCUGAGAGGACGAUCAGCCACACUGGGACUGGGACACGGCCCAGACUCCUACGGGAGGCAGCAGUGGGGAAUAUUGGACAAUGGGGGAAACCCUGAUCCAGCGACGCCGCGUGGGUGAAGAAGGCCUGCGGGUUGUAAAGCCCUUUCGGUAGGGACGAAAGCUCUCGACCUAACACGUCGGGAGGUUGACUUAACCUACAGAAGAAGCACCGGCUAACUCUGUGCCAGCCGCCGCAGUAAGAC